CGGGGUGUAGCUCAGAUGGCUAGAGCGCUUGCUUUGGGAGCAAGAGGCCGAGAGUUCGAGUCCCUCCACCCCGACAA
rnacentral:tRNA from 1 species